UAUAUACUCCCUCCGUCCGAAAAUACUUGUCAUCAAAAUGGAUAGAAAGGGAUGUAUCAAGAACUAAAAUAUGUCUAGAUACAUCUUUUUUUAUUCAUUUUGAUGACGAGUAUUUUCGGACGGAGGAAAUAUAUU
rnacentral:pre_miRNA from 1 species